GCACAAUAAAAGUUCCAGGACAUGAAGGCUGCAUACUGUGAACGUCAACCUUCAGGGCACCGUCCUGUGCAGAAGACUUUCUGCCCCAAGAGGGAUGGCUGACGGCAGACACUCACAACCAGCACAGACGCCUCCAACCUCAGACUAGGCCCUUCACAGUUGCUGCACUUACCCACCUUCCCCGAGUUUUUGUGUGGUAAUGACAACUGUAAAUAUAGUAUAAAGUAAUGUAUCUAGUGUCAUGUGUAAUACAUUGUUUAAAUUGUCCAUACAUUUCAAUGACAGUAAAUAUUGGUGGACACAA